CCCCGCAGACCCUCUACCUUCGCGCGGGGGCACGGACGGCUACGGCAGCGGCUUCGAGUAGUACAGGAGCUGGUGGGCAGAUAAGCACUGACUUGUAAGCAGAGGCUGUUGAGGGUUCUGUAUGGAUUGAAUAGGAUCAUUUGCAAGGUAAAACGGAAAUUUCUCCAGUUCGUUCAAGAUUUUUGUUUGUCUAGUAGUUGGUGGCCCCCUCCUUAUCUGGCAAACUCUAUCAAUGUCUCCCAUACGAUCAUGUGCCAACCGUCAAGAGAAGGAUAUGGCAGAAGUCAAAAAGAAGAUGUUCUGUCCUUUAACCCCCAGGCGUAAGAAGUUGCAUUUUGAUACAGUUUCCAAGCGUACCAACUUCCCAUGCCCUCCUCUUGCGGCGCCAGACGAGUCGCCAAGUGCCAUUGAGACAUGCCGCACAAAUAUUACAUGGUGGGAAUCUGUUCUGAAUUGGUUGCAGGAUAAGGACAGUAUGAUUGAUGAGUCUUUGGGCAAGGAUCCAGAGGACUUGAUCGUGUUAUCCAGUGGGCCAGAAAGCAUGAAAAUGAGUGGUG